AACGUAGGAGACAGACGUUAUCCGGAAUGAUUGGGCGUAAAGCAUCCGCAGGUGGCAGUUCAAGUCUGCUGUCAAAGACCGGGGCUUAACUUCGGAAAGGCAGUGGAAACUGAACAGCUAGAGUAUGGUAGGGGCAGAGGGAAUUCCUGGUGUAGCGGUGAAAUGCGUAGAGAUCAGGAAGAACAUCGGUGGCGAAGGCGCUCUGCUGGACCAUAACUGACACUCAGGGACGAAAGCUAGGGGAGCGAAUGGG
rnacentral:rRNA from 1 species